UAUAAUUGUUGUUGUGUAUGUAGU
rnacentral:siRNA from 1 species